rnacentral:rRNA from 1 species
GACGGAGGAUGCAAGUGUUAUCCGGAAUCACUGGGCGUAAAGCGUCUGUAGGUGGUCAAAUAAGUCAACUGUUAAAUCUUGAGGCUCAACCUCAAAAUCGCAGUCGAAACUAUUCGACUAGAGUAUAGUAGGGGUAAAGGGAAUUUCCAGUGGAGCGGUGAAAUGCGUAGAGAUUGGAAAGAACACCGAUGGCGAAGGCGGGUCUCUGGGCCGAUACUGACGCUGAGGCGCGAAAGCGUGGGGAGCAAACAGG